rnacentral:rRNA from 1 species
UACGUAGGUGGCAAGCGUUGUCCGGAUUUACUGGGCGUAAAGAGCGCGCAGGCGGUCGAUCAAGUCGCGUGUGAAAGCCCCCGGCUCAACUGGGGAGGGUCACGCGAUACUGAUCGACUCGAAGGCAGGAGAGGGUAGUGGAAUUCCCAGUGUAGUGGUGAAAUACGUAGAGAUUGGGAAGAACACCAGUGGCGAAGGCGGCUAUCUGGACGGUUUCUGACACUAAGACACGAAAGCGUGGGGAGCAAACAGG